AUUGAACGCUGGCGGCGUGCUUAACACAUGCAAGUCGAUCGGUAACAGGUGUAGCAAUACAUGCUGACGAGAGGCGGACGGGUGAGUAAUGCUUGGGAAUCUGCCUAUUAGUGGGGGACGAACCCGGGGAAACGUCGGGCUAAUACCGCAUACGCUCUACGGAGGAAAGCCGGGGACCGCAAGGCCUGGCGCUAAUAGAUGAGCCCAAGUCGGAUUAGCUAGUUGGUAGGGUAACGGCCUACCAAGGCGACAAUCCGUAGCUGGUCUGAGAGGACGACCAGCCACACCGGAACUGAGACACGGUCCGGACUCCUACGGGAGGCAGCAGUGGGGAAUAUUGGACAAUGGGGGCAACCCUGAUCCAGCGACGCCGCGUGGGUGAAGAAGGCCUGCGGGUUGUAAAGCCCUUUCGGUGGGGAAGAAAAGUCUCGACCUAAUACGUCGGGACCUUGACGUAACCCACUAAAGAAGCACCGGCUAACUCUGUGCCAGCAGCCGCGGUAAU
rnacentral:rRNA from 1 species